rnacentral:tRNA from 1 species
GGCGAGGUAGGCGGUGCGGCCCGCCGCCACCACCGUCACGUGGUGGUAGCCGGGCGGCAGGUGCAGGCCGGCCGGGUUCCGCCGCACGAUCUCGUCGC